rnacentral:rRNA from 1 species
CCUACGGGUGGCAGCAGUGAGGAAUAUUGCACAAUGGACGAGAGUCUGAACCAGCCAAGCAGCGUGAAGGAUGACUGCCCUAUGGGUUGUAAACUUUUUUUAUAUGGGAGUAAAAUGUUCCACGUGUGGGAUUUUGUAUGUACCAUAUGAAUACGGAUCGCCUAACUCCGCGCCAGCAGCCGCGGUAAUACGGAGGAUCCGAGCGUUAUCCGGAUUUAGUGGGUUUAAAGGGAGCGUAGGUGGAUGGUUAAGUCAGUUGUGAAAGUUUGCGGCUCAACCGUAAAAGUGCAGUUGAAACUGGCAGUCUUGAGUACAGUAGAGGUGGGCGGAAUUCGUGGUGUAGCGGUGAAAUGCUUAGAUAUCACGAAGAACUCCGAUUGCGAAGGCAGUUCACUGGACUGCAACUGACGCUGAGGCUCGAAAGUGUGGGUAUCAAACAGGAUUAGAUACCCUGGUAGUC